rnacentral:rRNA from 1 species
CGGCCCAGACUCCUACGGGAGGCAGCAGUGGGGAAUAUUGCACAAUGGGGGAAACCCUGAUGCAGCGACGCCGCGUGGAGGAAGAAGGUCUUCGGAUUGUAAACUCCUGUUGUUGAGGAAGAUAAUGACGGUACUCAACAAGGAAGUGACGGCUAACUACGUGCCAGCAGCCGCGGUAAAACGUAGGUCACAAGCGUUGUCCGGAAUUACUGGGUGUAAAGGGAGCGCAGGCGGGAAGACAAGUUGGAAGUGAAAUCCAUGGGCUCAACCCAUGAACUGCUUUCAAAACUGUUUUUCUUGAGUAGUGCAGAGGUAGGCGGAAUUCCCGGUGUAGCGGUGGAAUGCGUAGAUAUCGGGAGGAACACCAGUGGCGAAGGCGGCCUACUGGGCACCAACUGACGCUGAGGCUCGAAAGUGUGGGUAGCAAACAGGAUUAGAUACCCUGGUAGUCCACACCGUAAACGAUGAUUACUAGGUGUUGGAGGAUUGACCCCUUCAGUGCCGCAGUUAACACAAUAAGUAAUCCACCUGGGGAGUACGACCGCAAGGUUGAAACUCAAAGGAAUUGACGGGGGCCCGCACAAGCAGUGGAGUAUGUGGUUUAAUUCGACGCAACGCGAAGAACCUUACCAAGUCUUGACAUCCUGCGACGGUGCUGGAAACAGUACUUUCCUUCGGGACGCAGAGACAGGUGGUGCAUGGUUGUCGUCAGCUCGUGUCGUGAGAUGUUGGGUUAAGUCCCGCAACGAGCGCAACCCUU